GUAGAGUAAAUAUUGCGCGUCAAGUGCUAUGAGAUGGGAUGUUGCUCAUAGACGAAGGCCUGUUUUAAAGCCGUUUACCCAUGGUUUCGGCAUAUGGCCGCGGUGCAAUAUUGCGUCCGCUGC
rnacentral:ncRNA from 1 species